rnacentral:lncRNA from 1 species
AAUUAUUCAUUACUGUAAAUAAUCAAGAUGCUGGAUACUUCCUAACUUUGACUGUGUCAUUCAGAAACUCUUGUGAAAGCGUUUGAGAUUAAUGGAUCGGGCUACAUAUAUAUUUUGUUUGGUGUCACUGAAAUAUCAUGCACACUUUAGUUUACUUUAGAAUUGUGAUGGGAAUUAGCUUGAGCAUCUUGCUCGUGAAGAUUAUUAGUGAUUUCUCUUUUUUUUAAGCUGGAUUUUAUCGUGUAUUUGAUUGCAUAUUGUUUCUUGUUCUUGCUCUUUCUCUCUCCCGGUGGCAUACUUUUGACUCUGGGUUUCAUGAAUUUAUCUUUUCCCCCCUUUAUUUUGACAAAUGUUAUAUAUGUUGCAUAGGUUGUUCUUGCUGCAUCCAUUGUUAGCAAGUCUGGGAAAGGUGAGAUACUUCCUUUACCCAUUCUUCAACAAUACUCUUUAUUUUUAUUUUUAUUUUUCAUAAUGAUGGUUUUCAUAGUUAGCUUCUUACACUUUAUACUCGUUAGCCCCUCUCACAUGGGCACAAACACACACCUUUUCUCCCUUAAAAUUUUAUUUUCAAGUCUUUGAUAAAUUUUAGCUACUAUUUACAAGGCUGCCCUUUUGGAUGCAUUCUUUUUGCAGUUCUUAUUUCCAGACAGUUUGUUGAUAUGUCUAGAAUCAGAAUUGAGGGCCUUCUUGCUGCUUUCCCAAAGUUGGUUGGAACUGGAAAACAACAUACAUAUGUGGAGACAGAAAAUGUUCGCUAUGUUUACCAUCCAAUAGAAGCUCUGUACUUGCUUCUUGUUACAAAUAAACAGAGCAACAUCCUUGAAGAUUUGGACACCUUAAGGCUCCUUUCUAAGCUUGUAUCCUUUUUUGAGCUGGCCUAUGCUUAUUUUUAUUGUUGUUAAUGUUGAUCUUGUGUUGAAUUUGGGUAUGUUGGCUCGUGAUCUUUCAUGGGGACUAGCAAAGUUUGCAUACGUUAGAACAAAGCAAACGCUUAUUGACGAUGUAUUGUAUAAUGAAGAGAUGAACUCUAGACUGCAAAGGAAAAUAAAAUGUUAUAUAGUUCAUCUUAUAUGAAACAAAAUCAAGUCUUUUCUGGUAAGAUCAUAUGUUUUUCUUUUAAGAAUAAGAAUAUUUUUUCAGGUCUGCUAAUAGGGGUACCCUCCAUCAUGUGUAUGUGUAUACUCUCUUAGGUGUGUAUGUGUGGGAUUUUUGUUUGCAUGGUAAGAUGGUGCUUUACAAAUGUUUGUGUUAAACGCUCUGAGAAUGGAGUUAUGUUGGAGUCCUUAAGUGAUUCUAGGUGCCUGAAUAUUCACUCUCUAUGGAUGAAGAGGGAAUCUGCAAGACAGCUUUUGAUUUGAUUUUUGCUUUCGAUGAAGUUAUUUCUCUUGGGCACAAGGAAAACGUGACUGUUGCCCAGGUUAAGCAGUACUGUGAGAUGGAGAGCCACGAAGAGAAGUUGCACAAGUUGGUACUGCAGAGCAAGAUCAAUGAAACUAAGGAUGUCAUGAAGCGGAAAGCAAGUGAGAUUGACAAAAGCAAGGUCUUCUUUACGUGCCCUUCAUCAUUUUUUUUCCGCAACUAAUUUUUUUUUUUGAAAACAACAAUUUGUUUUCUCAAAAAUAACAUAAAAUUUGAUCAUUUGUCAUAUGUAUUGCAGAUUGAAAAGAAUAGGGGUGACAAAGGAGGCUUUAUGUCUUUACAGUCUAUGGGAUCAGGAAAGAUUGAUAAUGGCCUCAGUGACAUGGGCAUAUCAUCAGGUGGUGGAGGUGGUUUUGGUAGCAGUUCUGGUUUUGGAUUGGGUGCAGAUGUUGAGUCCUUUUCUAGCAAGCCUAAAGGUUGCUCUUUGUUUAAAUGCACAUUUUAUGAAUGUUAUCUAUGAUGAGUUGUUGGUUUGUUACACAUAUUUGUAAGCAGUCACUUGUCCUUGCAUCAACGUCAUAUACGCUACCAACGUUCUCUCAGUAAUUUGUCAUAUAUUUUAUGGCCAAUGAAUAUUGUCACGUAUUAAGUGGACGCUUACCGUUCUACCUUUUAUGUUUGUUAUUAGGCCGUCCACCUUCAUCUGCUACUGCUCCCCCCAAAGGCCUUGGCAUGCAGCUUGGUAAAUCCCAAAGGACAAAUCAAUUCUUGGAAUCUUUGAAGGCAGAAGGUGAAGUAAUAGUUGAAGAUGUACAGCCAAGUGUUGGUCCGUCUAAAUCAGCUGUCCCACCCCCAACUGAUCCUGUUACUCUAUCUGUUGAGGAGAAACUCAAUGUGUCCCUGAAACGAGAUGGUGGAGUUAGUAACUUUGACCUUCAGGGAACAUUGUCCCUUCAAAUUCUCAACCAAGAAGAUUCCCACAUUCAAGUUCAGGUACUUUGGUUCACUUUACAUCAAGGAUGCUGUAUAAUAAACACUACAACUUCUCUAGGUGAUUGGUAUCCCCAACACAUAUCCUACAAUUUCCACUGUUUGACUACUUAUAUUAAUUGAUUUCUUGCACACCUUAUAAACUUUCCUUCAAAUGUGUAUGAAGCUAAAAGAUUUUCAUCGUUGGAUUGUUCACAAAUUUGGCACUUGGGACAAUUUUGAUUUUAAGGUUGUUCCUAUAGGAUUUUGAACCAUCUCUCGGGCACUGCCUUUUGUCUCAUCUUUUUCUUGUAGUGUUAUUUUGAUUUGAUUUACAUUGCUGAUCUUGUUAUUUGUUUCACGAUCUUGAUUCGUUACCUUGUUUUCAGAUUGAGACUGGUGGAAACCCUGGCAUCCUUUUCAAAACUCAUCCUAACAUGAACAAAGAGUUAUUUUCCAAUGAAAACAUUCUAGGCCUGAAGGAUCCCAACAGGCCAUUUCCUACGGGUCAAGGCAGUGAUGCUGGAGUUGGUCUCUUGAAGUGGAGAAUGCAAAGCAAUGAUGAAUCAAUGGUACCAUUAACAAGUGAGUCUGAAUCUUUUUCAUACAGUUUUCUAUUAUAUAUAUUUUUAAAAAGUUAUACUAUACUUAUGAUGAGGCUUCCGUUGUUGCAGUCAACUGCUGGCCCUCUGUUUCUGGAAAUGAAACCUAUGUUAGCAUUGAAUAUGAAGCUUCAUCAAUGUUUGACCUGCGGAAUGUCGUCGUCUCAGUGCCUCUUCCCGCUCUUCGUGAGGCACCCAGUGUAAGGCAGAUUGAUGGAGAGUGGAGGUAUAGAUUGAUCUCUAGUCUCUUAAUUUUCACCUGAUUUAUAUUCUUUCGUUACAUCAAUUCUUUGAUCGAAAUGGGACUGUCCUUGUUGAACUAUGAAAUACGUUUUACUAAAGUAAUAAAGUAACUUUUUAAAGCUCGCUUGUGUUCAUUAAAAUGGGACAUGGAAAAAAGAAACAAUUUCGUAAAAUUUUAUUUAACAAGUCUCAAUGUUGAGAACCUUCUGAAAGGCAAAACUUGUAACGAUUUUUUGAAUAUAUCAAUUACAUGACCCUAAUGAAGCGGAUCCAAACAGAUAUCCUUUUGAAUUCAAAGACCCAUUUAACACCUGUUUUUCCUCAACCUGCAGGUUCGAUUCCAGAAAUUCUGUCUUGGAAUGGUCUAUAGUUCUCAUUGAUAACUCAAACCGCAGGUAUGUUGUGUUUGGAUUCUCUCUUCGCUAGACGUUGUUACCCUAUUAUAAUUGCAUGCUUGUGUUUAUUAAUCUGCUCCAUCAUCUUGACAGUGGAUCCAUGGAGUUUGUUGUUCCUCCAGCCGAUUCAUCAGUAUUUUUCCCCAUUUCUGUUCGGUUUUCAGCAGCUAGCACAUUUAGCGACCUGAAGGUUUUUUCUUGUUCUGUCCUCUACUUGAAAUCGGAUAUUAAUUACAAACCUCUCAAUAACCGUUAUAUCCUGUCCUUGUGUGUGGAAUAAUCUCAUUAAUAAUUGCACUGACACCUAGAUUUUAAGUGGUAAUCACAACUAAAUUGACAGUUGCAUUAGAGUGGAAAUAACAGUGAAUUUGAGAGUUCCCGUAAGAACUAGUGUCGAUGGAACUGGAUGUGAUUUAAUUAGAACAGAAAGUUUAUUAGACUAACCAAACACUUCUACGAUCUAGAAACCCGUCGAACUAAACUGACUUCUUCUCUCAUUCACUCGCAUCAUUUUAUUCUGUAGAGAGAAAAUGAGAUUUUAACUACGCUUAUUCUCAUUCUUGAUUCGAUAUUUCCAGCAUUUACUAAAGCAUUGGUUUGUAAACUCCCUUGUUUCAGGUUGUCAACAUUUUGCCUCUUAGGGGCGGGGCUCCUCCCAAAUAUGUUCAGAGGACACAGUUGAUUGCGGAAAAUUACCAAGUUGUUUGAUUGAUGAGGUCUUCUUUAUUGAAUUUUUCCUUACAUUUUGCACUGAUAAUUUUUUUAGUGAUUUGGCCUGAUAAAUUACUAGUUCGAAACAACUAAGGACUAAAAUAAUCCAUUUCAAGCCAUGGUUACAAGUCUUGGUCUAACAAACGAUAAAAUUUGUUAAAGAAAUUAAUUUUUUUGGUACAUAUUUACCCAAAUUUGUGGGUAAAUCAUCAUAUUCCGAAUUUAGUGAAAUUGUAUCGUUUGUGUUAAUAUUUCGUGGUCUUUUAUUAUACUUGAAAAGACCCAACAGAAACAAGAAAAAAAAAGAAAACCUAAAUACGUCAAAGACAUGCAUGGUGAAGAAACUAAUAUAUAAAAUCAUUUGAUUUUGUUUCAAUGUCUUCUUCCACGUGAAUUCAUAAUCUUCGUAAUUAUAUUAAAAUUACAAGUUGAUUUUCAAAAUUAAAAGAUUGUAUAAAUCACUUUCCAAAAAAUAUCACGUGAAUGAACCACUUAGGAUAUAUAGAAGGAAUAAAGGACGACCAUAGAUUUCUCGGUUGAAAAGUUUGUGAUGGGUUGAAUAAGUCACAUCGAUUAUAGUGACAACAUCAUAUUAUUUUCAGAUAAUCGAAUAUACGUACACUUGUUUUAACAAUUUGGAAGGCAAUUCAUGCAAAUUGGGCAGAUUUGGUAUUUUCCAUUUGAUUCUCGUCGGGUAAUUAUUUGAUUUUCGGCUUUUUUUUAUUUAUAAAAUUAAAUUCCAUAAACAGCACUUUCAUGUGAAGCUAAAUUUUGAAAAAUAAAAAAAUUAGUUUUUAUUUUUGGAAAUUCAUAAUCUGAAACCAAUGAAUAUGAAUUGUAAGAAAAUAAAGACAAUUUUAAAAACAAAAUAGUUAUUGAGCAUGUGUUGAUUUUUUGUUUUAAGUUUGUAAAAACUAAAUCAAUAAACACUCAUCGUUAUAUACUUUCUAAUUUCUACAUGUUUUUACAGAAACAAGCCAACUUUUUAAAACUAACAAACUAGUUUUUUAAAUAAAGAAAUUGGAUGAAAAUUCAACUGUUUAAGCUAAUACAUUUGAACGAAAUAAUCAGAAAUUGAUGAUUUUAAAACAUAAAAUCUAAAAAUUAAAUAAUUACUGAACGAAGUCUACACGUUUUAACUAUACAUUAAAAAUAAUUACAACUUUUUACCAUUUAUGCCAAAACAAUUAAAAACUGAUAAACCAAAAUUAGAAAACUCAUUUUUAGAAAACAGAAAAAAAAAAGUUUAAAAAAAGAAUAGUAAAUUUUGGUUAUAAAAACAAAAAUGAGAGAAAAGAAAUGCGAUGUUCCAAUUUAGGCAUUGAGAAAAUCGAUUAAUUUACUUCCUCCGACUGCUAAACUAUAUAAUAAAUCCAUAAACUUCCAAUGUUCUAGAUAAUACAACUUUUCUUCACUUUUAAGUUUACACUAAUUAUUUGCAAUUUGUACCUAAUUUAAAGAUAAUCUCGUUCAAAAUCACCAAAAUAAUUUUAAAUAAAAAGUAAAUUUAACCGUAAAUUAGAUUAGAGAUAUUAAAUUUAAAAUUGAUUGAAGGGUAUUUUCAACAUAGGAAAUACUUUAAUUUGGAUAUGGUUUUUAUAAAAAUGCGUAAAAUACCAAUACACAAUCCGAAGGUAAAUUGAUAAGAAUCAAGAUGGUUGAUUUAGAUUGGAUUAACUUCAUUGUAUUUACUCCUAAUUAAUAAAUAAAUAAAUAAUCAAACCAUUAGUAUCCAAUAAAUAAAGGAGUAAUGAAAUUAAAUGAAUUAAACGUAAAAGUAGAAAAAGGAAGAGUAUGAUUCUCCCCUGGGCGUAAAAGCAAGCAAAUGGACAAAAUACAAAUUCCGGCCCCCAAAACAAUAAUUUGGGUUUACAUUUAGACCACGAAUAAGCUAAUUAAUUACAAGACUUACCCCUUAAAAAAUGUAAAGAAACCAAAGGCAAAGCCUCAAACAAUUAUAGUUAAGGGUAGAAAAUAGAAAAUUAUAGAGAGGAAAAAGAAAAAGAAAGGUUAUAAAAAGGAAUUAAUGAAAGAGGAGGAAGAGGAAGAGGAAGAAGAAGAGGGAGGCAUAUUAAUUAGGUCUAAUGGAUUUAAUUAAUUAAUAGAUUAAAUUAUUUAAAGAGUCUAAUCUUCGGGAAGUGGAAGUGUGAAAUUUUGACCUUUCGCUUUCUCGAUCUAGGGUUUCAUGUCAUUGACAGAGUCCUUCGUUAUCGCCAAAAAUACGAGCCCUAGCAGCAGAUAAAAUAAGAGUUUUCCCAAACCACAGAUCGAGUUCAUUGGAAACAAAAUUUUCGUUUUUUCUUUUUGGUUCAUCAUCUUCAUCAUCAUCAUCAUCAUCAUCAAUCAGGAUCUUAAAUUUUUUUCCUAUCAUGGGAAAAAGAAGAACCCAAAUCUUGUUUUGUUCUGUUGUUUCUUGACGGAUCGAUGUUUUAAAUUUGGAAAAAAGAAAAAGAGUAAGAAAACUGGAUCAAAUCUAAAGCAUUCAGGACGAUUCAUGAUCUUUUUUUUUUAAUUUCUUAUUGUCUGGAAAGGAAAUCAUUGAAACCCCAUGGGAUUAUAUAGAAACUUGAUGAAAUUUCUGGAGGCAUAAAGCGAAACAGUGAAAUAUUGAGAGGAAGGAGAUUGGUGGGGAAGAAUGUAUAAAUCGGUGGUUUACCAUGGGGAUGAGCUACUGGGAGAUGUAGAGAUUUACCCAGAAGAAAAGAAUGGCUACAAGAACAUCGAAGUGAAGGAAAUCAGAAUAACUCACUUCUCGCAACCCAGUGAGAGGUGCCCACCACUUGCAGUGCUUCAUACCAUUGCAGCCUCUGGAAUUUGCUUCAAAAUGGAGUCAAAGACCUCGCAGUCACAGGACACGCCGCUCAAUCUUUUGCAUUCCUCGUGUAUCAUGGAGAAUAAGGUAUAAAAACAUAACUCGAAUAUAAGAAAGGAGACCAAAAGACUAAAGUACGAAGAGAGAGAAAAAGACAGAGACAGAGAUUAAAACCAAUGAGUUAAACAAAAUCUUAAUUCUAAACCCAACUUUGUUCAUCUUACAAGGAUUAGAUUGUAAACAUUCCAAUCAUUUUGAGAAAAUUUUGCAACCUUAAAUUGAGAAUGGUGCUGGAAUUCUGCCUGACAUUUUGUGAAAUUUCUAUGAUAUCUGCAACUUAUCCUAAAUUGUCUUUCUACCUGUCUUGGUUAGACACCUAUGGAAGAAAAUGGGAAUGUAAAAUGGGCAAAGCUGACUCCUAAACUUUUAGUUCAUAGGAAGUUCAGCUAUUUGCUUCCUCCUGUUUUCUUGCUCUUUCCGGCUGGUGACGUUAUUUUGAAGAUUAUGCUGCUGGUAGUUUCAUUUUGGUGGUAAACUUGUGAUUUUGUUCUGCAAGAAAAUUAAAACAAUUGUUUCAAUAAGCUGAAAAUUGGUGUCAAAGUUAAUAGCAUGAGAAAACUUGAUUGCCCCCUGGAUUCUUUUUUUCAAACUUCUAAUAUUACUUAUGGUUUUGUUGUUUUGUAAAGUUGGAAGCAUUUCUGCAUUGUUUUUUGUCAAUGGGAUGGCAUAUUCUUCCUCAGUUGGUUGUUUUUGAUAUGGAUGUGUUGCAAACACUGAUGAUUUGGAUUUGUUUCAACAGACUGCUAUAAUGAUGUUUGGGGUGGAGGAGCUACAUUUGGUAGCCAUGUUUUCUAGAGAUCUUGACAAGCAGUAUCCAUGUUUCUGGGGCUUCAACGUUGCAAUGGGACUCUACAAUUCUUGUCUUGACAUGUUGAAUCUUAGAUGUCUUGGCAUUGUAUUUGAUCUUGAUGAGACACUUGUGGUUGCAAAUACAAUGCGUUCGUUCGAGGAUAGAAUUGAAGCCCUGCAGCGGAAAAUAAGCAGUGAGGUAGACCCACAGCGCGCUAAUGGCAUGCUGGCAGAGGUUAAGCGAUAUCAAGAUGACAAGAUAAUUCUGAAGCAAUAUGCUGAAAAUGACCAGGUUAUAGAAAAUGGAAAAGUGAUUAAAAGUCAAUCGGAAGUAGUGCCAGCAUUGUCUGACAAUCAUCAACCUGUUGUUCGACCUCUGAUACGGUUGCAUGAAAAAAAUAUCAUUCUAACUCGUAUCAACCCCCAGGUAACUAGAUUUAAACCAUGCUAUCUAUUUGCUUCCACUUUCCAAGGAUGCAAGGACCAUCAAACAAUUCACUUACACUUGUUUUUCACUUCAACUGCUCAUAUGUGCAUUCAUAUUACCCUUUUUUCUAGUAUCCAUGUUGGAUAUUUUUUCUCUCUGUUUUUAGAGUCUCCUAAUUUGUCUGUUUAUUUUUUACUGUAAUGAUUAAAAUUAAUCCAAACUGAUGUUGUUUGCCUGAGACAGGGUUUGGUUCAUUUAAGUGGUGUCUGAGUUCUUUAUAUGAUAUUUCAUUUAGACUUAUAAGUUGCUCAAUGAAAGUCAUAAGCUAUUUUGUGAAGUCGUUAAAUGCAAGUUAUAUUGGCUCAACUACUGCUAUUAUUUCAUAGAUUCGUGAUACAAGUGUUCUUGUGAGGUUGAGACCUGCAUGGGAAGAUCUUCGGAGCUACUUGACUGCAAGAGGCCGCAAGCGUUUUGAGGUCUAUGUGUGUACAAUGGCUGAAAGGGAUUAUGCUUUGGAGAUGUGGAGGCUCCUUGAUCCGGAUUCAAAUUUGAUAAAUCCUAAGGAAUUGUUGGAUCGCAUUGUUUGUGUUAAGUCUGGUAAGUUUAAGCCAAUUUCGUAAGAAGACAAAUAUUCCUUCCCAAACCGGUGGCACAUUUUUCCGAGGGUUGUUGAUGAAGAAGCUAAUUCCGAAACUGCUUAAAGUCCUGAUUUAUAGUUUUUCUAUCAUUUUGGCGAUUUUCAAUUGAAUUUUCUUGCUAACAUUCUUUUGGCCCAUAUCCUUAGGUUCUAGGAAGUCAUUGUUCAAUGUCUUCCAAGAUGGGUUUUGCCACCCAAAGAUGGCUCUGGUAAUCGAUGAUCGUUUGAAAGUAUGGGAUGAAAAGGAUCAACCUCGAGUGCACGUUGUUCCUGCAUUUGCUCCUUACUAUGCCCCUAAUGCUGAAGUAUAUUCUUAUUUGUAAUUUGGCAUUUCAUUUUGAAAAAAUUCUUUAAAAAUUACGCAACACUGAUUUAUUUCACGUUUCUUUUUCUUUUUGGGUAGGGAAAUAAUGCCAUCCCUGUUCUAUGUGUAGCAAGGAAUGUUGCCUGCAAUGUUAGAGGUGGUUUUUUCAAGUAAGAUUCAUAAGACUGCUAAAGUUUCUUACCGAAGGACAUGAAUUCUACUAUGCUUAUUUUUAAUAUUUGCAAAUUAAGGUUUUAGCUCUGGGAGAUGGUCCAAGUUCAUGCAUGUUAUUGGUUUUCUUUUGUUAAUAGCGGCAUUUCUCUGACUUCAGGGAAUUUGAUGAUAUCCUACUGCAAAAAAUUUCUGAUAUCUCAUAUGAAGAUGAUGUCAACGAUAUUCCCUCUCCUCCGGAUGUGAGCAACUAUCUCGUCUCAGAGGUCAGUAGGAAUUCCUUCUCAAAUUACUUUCCCAUAAAAUAAUCAAACUUAGUUUGAUAGUGAGGUCAUUGUUAUAAUCAAAUUUAGUGUUACUGCUUUUCCCUAUAGGUGGGAGGUCUAAUCCUCAUCACCACAAUUGUUGUACUAAAAAACAAUCUUUUCCCUUAUAUGUUUUUCAGGAUGAAUACUCUAUUGCUAAUGGAAACAAAGAUAUGCCAACUUUUGAUGGUAUGCCAGACAUGGAAGUUGAUAGAAGAAUGAAGGUACUGACGAAGAUUGGUCCUUGUUUGAUGUUAUAAGUAAACUUUCAUUUGCAUAUAUCAGGGAACUAAUUAGGUCAAGGGAAGUGAGUGUAAUAAUAUCUUGCAUAACAUUCUACUAGGAGGAAUGAAUUAGUUCUAAAAUUUUUAAGUUACCAUUAUACAUUUACAUCCAACAAUUGUUAGUUGUGGAGUGGAAAGAAUUUGCAACUUCAUUCAAUAAAAAUUAUGAUAAAUAGAUGUCCAAGAAUUACAAAGAACUAAAGAAGUGAGCAAACAUAAAGAAAUCAGUAAGCUCUCUGCAUCAAUUAGUCAUUGUUCCUGCAUAUUACUUUGCCUGCAUGUUACUUCAAGAUCUGUCUGUCAUACACAUGUACUCAGUCUUACAUAUACAUGUAUGAAACGGAUACCUCUUCCAUCUUCCCCAGGAUGCAUUUUUGGCUUCUUCAACUAUUAACAGUGCAGAUCCACGGGUUUCUUCUCUUCAAUAUACAAUGGCUUCUGCUUCUUGUUCUGUUCCACUUCCCCCAAAGCAGGUGACGAUGCCAUAUUUUCCAAACAUGCCACUUCCCCAUGUUAACUCAGUGGCUCAUGUGGCCCCAAAUGAACCAAGUUUACAAAGUUCUCCCGCUAGAGAGGAGGGUGAGGUACCAGAAUCAGAAUUAGAUCCUGAUACAAGGCGUAGACUCCUUAUAUUGCAACAUGGGCAAGAUACGAGAGAGCGUCUAUCAAGUGAACCCGCAUUUCCAGCAAGGCCUCCUCCAUUACAGCAGGUUGCUGCUCCACGUGCUCAAUCACGUGGAAAUUGGUCUCCAAUGGAAGAAGAAAUGAGCCCAAGGCAACUAAAUCGCAGUGCACGAAAAGAUUUCCCUGUAGAUGCUGAACCAAUGCCGAUGCGGGAGAAGCAUAGGUCAAAUCAUCCUUCAUUUUUCGCCAAGGUUGACAAUUCAAUUCUACCUGAUAGAAUUCCUCAUGAUAAUCAGAGAUUGCCAAAAGAGGUAAUUAGGCUAUGUUUUGCCUGGCUUUGACUCCCCCUUUUUUCAAAGAGAAAAGCUGCUGUAUAAUUCUUCAGUAUGCUUUUUUAAUCAUGCAUGCAGGCUUUUUAUAGAGAUGAUCGUAUGAGAGUAAGUCGAAGGCCAUCUAGCUAUCCUGCGUUCUCAGGUGAGAUGGCAGUUUGACACUUAAAUUUGUCCAUUUUUUGAAUUUUAUGGCGUCAAAUUUUAAUAGUUUUUAUUUAUUUCUCUCUUUUUUUUUUCUUCUCAUCUUAAAUAUUCAGGUAAUUAUUAGUUCGUCUGUCUGUUAUUACUCGGGGCUCUCUCUUUCAUUUUCUCAAUGAUUAGCAUUCAAAAAGAGUCAAACCCUUCAUCCUGUAACCUAGUGAACCACGUGUUUUACUUUAGGGUGAAUUUUCUUGUGGAUUAUUUCCAUAUCUACUCUCACAAUUACUCUGUAUUUUUUAUUUAGGCCUAGAGAUUAUAUGCAUUGUUUUCAUUGUGUAUGGAUGUUGUGUUCCAGAUUUUGAAUCUAAUAUUUUCAUUUCUCAAAAUAGAAUUCAAAUAUACCAGUUUUUUAGUUUAUUUAGGUUUAAAUAUAAAAUCCUUUAAAUCUCUAUCGAUUUAACUUCUAAACUAAAAGUUUUUAGAUCGUUCGAUAUUUUAGAAUGUUGUUAGUAGCAGAAUAUCUAUGUAAUAUUUAAUGAAUAAUUUGUAGUUUGUUUAACAUUUUGAAUUUUAAUAUUUCUAAUUGAUGAUAUUGUGACAAUGUUCUCUAACUGAAAAUUUACAUCUUGAUCGGCUUGCAAAUUUAAAGCAAAACUUAUCAUUAUUUUUAUUUUUCUACUCUUCGUUUUGUUAAUAACUAUCAUAUUAGUCAUUAUUAUAUUUCUUUGAGGUUAUGCUGCAUGCUGUAUUGCUAUUUUAUAGGUGAGGAAAUUCCAAUGAAUCAAUCAUCUUCAAGAAGUCGGGAUGAUGACAUUGAAUCUGGACGCUCCAUCUGGAGUGAAACUCCUGUUGGAGCUCUACAGGAAAUUGCAAUGAAGUUUGGCACCAAGGUAAUUGGGACAACUUUUCUCAUCAUAAAAAUUUGAAGUUUGUCAAUUAUGCAUUUGUUACACCCAUCUCUAGCCAGUCCUUGAGAUUUGAAAAAACUUGUAGGUGGAAUUUAAGCCAGGGUUGGUUCCCAGCACAGAUCUACAGUUUUCUGUUGAGGUAAUUUAUGAUUUCUAUCUUCAUGUUCUUUAUGGUUCUUCCUUGGAAUAUAUUUUGGAUACUGGAUAGUUCAAUGCCUACAUGAAUGAGAGUUUCUGCUUUUAUUUUUCUUUUAUUAUUAUUAUUAAAAAUUGAUCUAGUAUUAAAGAAGAAGAAGAAAACUAGGCUGGGGAAGAAAAAUCCCCUACUCGAGAGGAGAGAAGAAAUACUAUAAUAAUGAAAAAGAAGUGAGCGUUUACUCCAAAUCACAACCAAACUAACUAUGGCUCUAAAAGAGCUUUGAGAGCUUUCCCAUUGCUAAUGGUUAUGAAGAGGUUCCACUACUAGGCAGUGAGCCAAACACUGAGUUUUCUGCUUUGCUCUAUUAAUGUUGUGUAUUCCAAAUGUGGGAAGAUGCGAAAAUUCUAGAUUUAUUAAUAAUCCAAGUCUCAUGACUGGAUGGCCUUUUCUUGUCCAAUAGGACUUAUAUACCAUAGUAAAAUGAAGAAAUUGAUUAUUAAAUAUCUCAAGGUUAAAUCAAUUCUCCAUCAAAAUACAAGACACUAAUCCUGAUAAGCUUUUGGCUGAAUUAUAAAAAAUACCCCCUUUAAUAAAUCAAGGCCAUCCAGUCGUGAGAGUUUCAAUUAUAAAAAAUACAUUGAAUGUCUCUUUCUAAUGAGAGUUUCAAUUAUAAAAAAUACAUUGGACUACAUAUCCUUUAGAAUUUGAGUGGAAAUUGGGACUUGUAGGAUAUGGUGGCGUGGGUUGAUCCUAAUUUCCAUUAUAGGUCACCCUACACCAUUCCAAUUUCAACCUGAAAUUUCUACUCCAAAUGUAUUUUUUUUUAAAUCUUGUUAAAGUCCACGAGUAAUAUUGCAAAUUUUGAAAGGAUAGGAGCAUUUUUUGAACAAAUGAUUUGACCUACAUUGUUAACUUUCCAUGUACUUAUCUCAUCGGGUUAUUUAUCACAUUUUUCAAUUUUUAAGACCUGCCUGUCUCCACUUGUUCUGAUUAUAGAGCAUGUGAACCUGCUCCUUGCUUUUGUAGGCUUGGUUUGUAGGAGAAAAAAUUGGUGAAGGGAUUGGCCAUACUAGAAGGGAUGCUCAGCGACAGGCAGCUGAAGGUUCCAUAAAGAAUUUGGCUAGUAAGUAGUUUUGCUUUCUUCUCUUAUACUAUUUUAUGUUUACAACAUUUAUCUUUUGCUAUAUAUUGUUGACGUUAUACCUUAUUUUGUUGUUUGUAGCAAUCUAGAUAUGAAUAUUGUCUCUCCAAGAUAGUCUGCAGUCGUUUGGAAUAUUAAAAUUAUUGUUAUUGUCUUGCAUACUCUGUUUAUAAUGAUUUUAAAACAUGAUAACUCUUUGCAUUUUGGCCUAGGUCUGAACUACUUGGCUCAAUCUAGACAACUUAGCUUUUAUAUUUAGAUCAAUCGGUAAAAAAAUUUGUUAUUCUUAAUUCCUCCAAGGUUUUUUCUUAGCAUUGGCUGCUGUAUUGGGCAUGUGAUGUAUGUGUUUAGAAAUGCAAGCUUCAAUUAGAGCUAAAAUGCGAAGAGUAUGAGCGACCUCCGUGGUUUAUUCUGGCUUACAUACGAAAUAUUUUUUUGCAGACAUUUAUGUAUCACGUUGUAAGGCUGACCCUUCAUCUGCAAAUGAUAUGAACAAGUUUCCUAGCGACAAUGGAUCUGGAAAACGAAUGAAACUGGACUUCCACAGACAUCUUCCAAAAACUAAAUAAAUAUUCCACGAAAGCUUCUGCUCCAUGAAUGACUUCCAUAUUUGUUGACCCUCUAGUAAAAGCACGUUUCAGAAUAUUUGAGGUUAAAGGCCAUCAAGAGUCACCAUGUUGGACUUAGAAUACAUGGCCUUCUGCUUGUCUCGAUCAGAAUAAGAGGCAAACCGCAAGAUCAGCUCUUAUGCCUUCAUUCAAUUUCUUCUGAUAUCCAGCAACACGAACUCCACGUGAAUGUUCAUACUGAGGAGAUCCAGUUACUGCAUCUCUCUUAACCUUUAUGUUUUUUUCCUCGAGACCAAGAUAACCGGGAUGAGCCAUGAAUAUCUGCCUGCUUUAGUUGAAAAUUUUCUCCCAUUAAAGCUGAAGCCAUUUUUGUUAAAGAGGUGGCAGAAGGCUGUAGUUCAUGCUCAAUGCUCUCCUUUGGCAACUUGUUCACUCCAACAUGUUUGAGAUUGGCCGAUCAGAAUUUUAUUUUGUUUUAUUUUCUUUAUAUUUUUUGUGUUAAUAUUUUAUUUAAUUUGAUUGAGCUCAGGUCGAAAAUUGGCUGGUAUUCAGGAAUGUUUUCAUGAUCUGCAGACUCAUUAAUUCACUUUAUAACAAAGCUAACCCUUUAAUUUUAUGUUCCACACCUAAAUUAACAGUUAGGCUCCCCCACCCCAUGAAUGAUGUUUCGAGCUGGAGAACAAUGUAGUUGGUGGUAGAGUUGUAUAGAGUUCUUUUUUAAUACCAUUUCUGCUGCUUUUUUUAUUUCAAUGUCAAUGGAUGGAAUUCAACAUCUCCCAUAUUCUAUUUUAAGAUUGUUCUUAACAGAACUUGAUUGUUGUUUUUAUUUGUAUCAGGAUAAUAAAUGAUUCUUGGAAUUGCUAUCGCUCCUAAAUUUGUCACUUCGAAGUGGAAUGAAACAAAACAAUUGAAUUGAAUUCAAUAUUCUUAUAGUCUAUAGUAUUCCAAAUUUUAUUAAAUGAUUUUUUCUACUCUUCAAUCACAACAACGUAUUAAAAAACACAUUAAAUCAGAUCAUGUGUAUUCACCACUAAAUGCUUUUUAAGAAAUAUAUAUAUAUUUUAGAAAUUGAAACAUCAAGCCUUUGGUCAAGAAAAUUCGUACCAUCACAUUAGGAAAUGAAAUUAAUACUGUUAGCUCUCUCUUCCCUAUACAUAUAUCCAUGUAUAUAAAAUAUAAAGUUGAGGGACAAAUUUAUACUACAUGCUAACAACUAUUCUAUUGACCUAAUAAAAGUGUAUAAAGUGUUUAUUCCAAGUACGAAUCUUUUUCAAUGUUAAAUUAAUAUACAUAUUUAAUCAUAAAACAUCGAUUAUAACCAAGAGUUGCAUUUUGAUUGGGCAGAGUAUUAAUCUUUUUCCUUCUAAAAAUAAAUUUAAAAGAAGAAGAAGAACGAAGAAGAAUAGUUGAAAAAUGGUUAAAUUUUGGUCCUAUUAAUUACUUAAUGUGUAAAAAUGUGUAAAGGAUAUAAAAGGGUCAAAUUAGCUUCAACGAGAGAGUCAGUGAGUCAUCCCUUUGUUUCUCAUUUUACAAACCCAACCCACAAAAACACAUCUCUCUCUCUCUAUUUCUCUCUCUGCGGUGUUGGAGAGCGCUAAAAUGUCCACCUUCGACGCCUACAGUAUGGACGGUGAGGACAGCUAUGGCGGUUACGGAUCCUACACCAAUUUCUCCGGCGCCUUCCCCGGAGACGCCGAUGUGACCGUCGAGCAUACUCCUGCCUCGCCGGACGUCUUUGGAUUCGACGAUCCCAGCCCUAACUACUCCCAGGCUCCCUUUGAUCCGAUUCAUGUAGAGAAUGGAAAUGGAAAUGGCUAUGGUGCGGCUGAGGAUGAAGUUGGUGAUGGUGUGUUCGCAUCCGAUGGUCCAAUUCUUCCCCCUCCUAGCGAGAUGGGCGUGGAGGAAGGAUAUGCUCUUCGUGAAUGGCGUCGGUAAGAUCCUGUGACCCUCAAUUCAUUUUUUCAGAUUUCUUGGAACUGAAGAGGUUUUUCUUCUGCUGCUUGUGCUUUGUAUCUCGGUGUCGACUUAGAUCUGAUUCGUUGGCGAACAACUUCAGAUCUCUAUUAGUCAUCUCUUGCUAGUGUUUUUACUUGAUUGCACUGAUUGAUCUAGACUAUUUCUCCACUUUGUCUUAAUAGCUCUAUAUAGAGGGAUUUGAUGAGGGGAAUUAUAUUGAUCGAUUUGCAUUAAAAGGUGGUGAAUUAAAGAACUUAGAUCUAGGGAUAUCUGUACCUCAAUUGGUAGACUUCGAUGAAGAAGCUAUUUCAUUAGUGAGCUCUGAUCGAGGUUUUUAUUAGUAGAUCAGUUAGGCACAAGCCAUGGUGUCAAAUUUCUAAUUAUUAGUGGGUCUGUGUCGUUAUUGAUCUAUGUGGAAGUUCAAGCGGAAUUUAGGUUAAUUUCUCCAAGUUCAAGCAGAAUUCCAGCGGAUUAUUCGUAGAUCAGUCAGGGACAUAGCCAUUUAAGUCAAAUUACUAAUUAUCAGUUUGUGUAUAUUGUUGUUGAUCUAUGUGGAGGUUUAAGCGGAAUUCCAGCGGAAUUUGGUUGAUUAAUCAGGGAGAUAGCCAUUAAGUCAAAUUACUAUUAUUAGUGGAUGUAUAUUGUUGUUGAUCUAUGUGGACCGUGGAAGUUCAAGCGGGGUUCAGGUAAGUCUCUGGUAGAUAAGUAUGGACGAUUCGAUUUAGCCAUGACCCAUACAAAAAUGCAUGCGUGAUUCCUAAAGAGAAAUUGCAUGAUGUAUAUCAUCAAUUGAAAUCUUUUUAGCUAUUGUUUUAUUUUUCUUUGUUGUUUAGUUGUUUUAUUGGAUGUAACAAAAUGUCCUUGUUGACUUCCAUUUUCCUUUUAGAUCGCAGAAAGUGCAAUUUGUAAUGGAUAGCCAAUUUGAGUUUUGAAGAUGUAUUCAAGUAUAUAUCUAUUGUCUUUCGACUCUUUCCAAUUUUGAACUUUAGAAAUUAUGGGUUUUUUGGUGCAGCCAAAAUGCCAUUCAGCUUGAAGAGAAGGAGAAAAGGGAGAAAGAAUUGAGAAUUAAAAUUAUUGAAGAAGCUGAGGAGUAUAAAAUAGGUUUCUAUGAGAAAAGAAAGCUUAAUGUUGAGAGUAACAAGGUUAACAACAGAGAAAGAGAGAAGGUAUAGUUUUGUUUGCCAUCUUCUUUCAAGGGUGUGUUCUUCGUUUUCUUCUCUAGCUCUUUUUUCUUAGUAUAGAUUUUUCGCGUUUUUGGGGCAGCUAUACUUGGCAAAUCAGGAGAAGUUUCAUAAAGAGGCUGAUAAACAAUACUGGAAAGCAAUUGCAGAACUAAUUCCUAACGAAGUUCCUAAUAUUGAGAAAAAGAGAGGAAAGAAGGAUCAAGAAAAGAAACCAUCAAUACUAGUUGUUCAGGGUCCAAAGCCUGGGAAACCUACCGAUCUUUCAAGAAUGCGGCAAAUUCUCGUGAAAUUGAAGCACACACCCCCACCUCAUAUGAAACCACCACCACCCCCACCUGCCAAGGAUGCCAAGGACGCCAAGGACACCAAAGACGGCAAAGACGCUAAAGAUGGAAAGGAUGCCAAAAAUGAAAAAGAUGCAGCAACAAAAGCAUCCGACCCUACACCUGGGGCUGCCACGGCCAAUGGCACUUCUCACAAACCUCAAGAACCAAGUGUUGCUCCCGCUGCCGAUGAAGAUCAAACUGCUACAUAAUGACAUAGCCAUAGCCAUUAUCAACUUCUUUCUGCUCAAUACUUUUACAUUUUCCCUUUG